CGAGCGGCAGCGCGGGGGCAACCCUGGCGGCGAGCGGCGAACGGGUGAGUAACAUAUCGGAACGUACCCCGUCGUGGGGGAUAACUACCCGAAAGGGUAGCUAAUACCGCAUACGACCUGAGGGUGAAAGGGGGGGAUCGCAAGACCUCUCGCGAUGGGAGCGGCCGAUAUCGGAUUAGCUAGUUGGUGGGGUAAAGGCCUACCAAGGCGACGAUCCGUAGCUGGUCUGAGAGGACGACCAGCCACACUGGAACUGAGACACGGUCCAGACUCCUACGGGAGGCAGCAGUGGGGAAUUUUGGACAAUGGGGGCAACCCUGAUCCAGCCAUUCCGCGUGAGUGAAGAAGGCCUUCGGGUUGUAAAGCUCUUUCGGCAGGAACGAAACGGUGAGGGCCAAUACCCCUCAUCAAUGACGGUACCUGAAGAAGAAGCACCGGCUAACUACGUGCCAGCAGCCGCGGUAAUACGUAGGGUGCGAGCGUUAAUCGGAAUUACUGGGCGUAAAGCGUGCGCAGGCGGUUUUGUAAGACAGGUGUGAAAUCCCCGGGCUUAACCUGGGAACUGCGUUUGAAACUACGGAGCUAGAGUACGGCAGAGGGGGGUGGAAUUCCACGUGUAGCAGUGAAAUGCGUAGAUAUGUGGAGGAACACCGAUGGCGAAGGCAACCCCCUGGGCCGAUACUGACGCUGAGGCACGAAAGCGUGGGGAGCAAACAGGAUUAGAUACCCUGGUAGUCCACGCCCUAAACUAUGUCAACUAGUUGUCGGGAAAGCAAUUUCUUGGUAACGAAGCUAACGCGU
rnacentral:rRNA from 1 species